UCUUCAUUUUCCACACUCUCUCGUCGUUCUGACCGUUGAGAGAGUGUGCAGAAUGAAGAGA
rnacentral:pre_miRNA from 1 species